CGUGCUGCCGAAGCGAGGGCGCUUUCUGUUCUUGUCCACGAGCCUUCGGCGCUCAUCGGUGCCUGCUUCCGACCGUGGGUCGCGUUCCUUCCAACGUGCGUCUUCCAUCCCAGCUGGGCGGGGCCUUCACUGCUACCUUCACUGUUACCUUCUCAACAUGGCGAGCUUGGCCGGAUGUCACUUCGCCUUUGCCUUUUCCUCUCAGGACUCGGCUCACCGACCUUCUCAGCAGGGCCGGCCCUGCUCACUACCGCCCCCACCGGUCGUGUCGUGCUUCAUUCCCACAGGCCGCAUAAGACUGUGUGCUCCAUAAGGGUAAAGGCCGUUUGUAUCUUGUUCAUUGUCGUAUCGCCAAUGCCAGCUCAGUGGUGAAAGUGGGGACUGCUUAGUCAUUAGACCCUCAUUCCAGCGGUUCCUCCUCCCUAUACCUAGAGAAAAGGAAUGAAGACCCAGAGAUGCCAAGCACAAUCUGAACAAAUUGGCCUUGCCAAGUUCUCCCCAGGUGAUUCUCAUUAGCUCAUAUUCCCUUUGUCCAACCAUCCUUCUACAGGACUGUCCACUCUUCAUCAAUCCUAAGCAUAAAAAUACAGUUUUCCCUGUUUCUUUGGGCCUUCGUUUCUGAAGGCUCCUGGGUUAUGUAAAACUUUGAUGAAAUAAAUUUGCAUGAUUUUCUUUU